rnacentral:misc_RNA from 1 species
AGUGCUUUUCGCUUGUUUGACCUAUUGCACCAUUGCGAACACCGUACAAUACAUGCAGCUGUAUGACAAGUGCAAAUCUUUUCAUUACUGGAGUAACAAACAAAUUCGACGAUCAAACACACUCAACAUAAUGACACCGUGCAGUCGAACUGCCCUGUGUCGGUCGUAGUGCUUACUAUUUCCCACGGUCAUGACGGUGUGCUUGAACUCUGACUGCUUGCAUCUCCUAAGUGGUUUAUGACCAGUGACCCAUGAAUCAUGUGUGGUAUAUACUGCCUGCUCGCCCCAUCCUCACCUGAUGGACUGUGUCAUCUGCAAGCAAAUCUGGUCACAUCAAAGCUGUACAAGAGCCUGAUACUGAGGGGCCCUGACUGCUCUAAUGACCUCCUCAAACCCAUUGGUGUUAGGAGGAUAGAUCAUUCCCAACAGUUUCAGCAGUUGCAUGCAUUCUUCACUGGACAUGUUCUUCGUCAGAGAGGAACACUGACAUCCCAGCCCAUGGAAGACUCUGAUGGCAAUGUGCUGAUGUGGAAUGGAGAGAUAUUUGCUGGAAUCAAGGUUGAUCUUGCUGAUAAUGAUGGUCACUUGCUGUUGACCAUGUUGCAGUCCAGUCAAUCAAACCAAGAUAUUUUGACAGUUCUUAGCCAAAUUAAGGGCCCCUGGAGCUUCAUUUAUUGGCAGGAGUCCCAGCAUUGUCUCUGGUUUGGACGGGAUUGUCUUGGUCGACGAAGUCUUCUCUGGGGGUGCUUUGGAGAUGGUAAUCAGUCCUUUGCCCUAUCAUCUGUUGCUAGGCGACCAGAGAUCAACACUAAUGAGAGAUGGUCAGAGGUACCCGCAGAUGGAAUCUUCUGUCUAGAUGUUAAACAGUGGUCUCAACAUUCAGGGCUGCCUAUCCAGGUGAUGCUGUUUCCAUGGCAACAAGAUGCAGUUUCCUCAUCAGGGAGUGUUUUUAGUCCUACCGUUUCAGAUGAACUCAAAGAAGCUGUCUCCAAUGGAGACCUCCUAUCACAUCUAGAGCCACAUAAUAGCAAUUUUUUGGGCCAAAGUUUGAAUCCUGAUCUCAGCUUUGACAUCAUGACGGAAGGUGUAAAGAGUCCAAUAGCUCCAAUGAAUAUGUCAGUUCCAACUAAGACUGAGGAAGAGCUCUUGUCCUUGUGGGGAGAACAAGUUAAGUUACAGCUUCUCAAAAAUUGUCCAAGGGAGAUUCUAUUAAAGGGGAGUGCAUGUUCCAUGGAAAUGGAUGACCUGCACCAUUUUGAAGGAAUAAGAAUAUUUGAUGUAAGCAAAAGUGUCUUACCUGGAGGGAGUAUAUCAGAAUUGUUACCUCACAAAAUGGAGCAUGAGUUGGCCAGAAAUUCUGACAAGUCAGACAGCCAGUUGGGAAUCGAUUCAAACCACAGAAUCGCACAACCCCCAUCCCGGGACCAAAUUCAAGAAAAUUUGCCUUCAGCCAUGACAAAGCCUUCUGCAGUUACAGACUGUGCUCGUCAAGAUGUGAUCGGAGAAGAAGAUGCCUUGCCAAGACAGGAAUUAAAGCUUGGAAGGGAGCCUAGUGAAAGGAUCAGGGAUUGCUUAGCAUCAAUCAGUGUGUUUGAGUGUGAGAUGAUGAAGGCUGUCACUGGAUUGAUUAAAAUCCUACAGGAGUCUGUGAAAAGGAGGGUCUUCAAUCUUCCUCGUCCCCGUAGAAAUGACAAUCUCCAAGAUCCACAUUUGUCACCGUCCUCUCACGACAGCAUCUUCAAUUGGCACUUAGAUGUGCAUCCUGUUUCAGUGACAAGACAGGGGUGUUCCCCUAUCCACAGCGAGUCAGAUUCAGAGUUUAAAGUGAAACGCAGUGACAGUCAAGAUGCAGAGCGCCCCCACUGGCAGUGCCACAGUAGGGUAGCCAUUUUAUUCUCUGGAGGGAUUGACUCCAUGGUGAUAGCAGCCUUUGCUGACAGGUGCAUACCUAAGGAGGAAUCUGUUGACUUAAUCAAUGUGGCUUUCCAGCAGCUACCAAAAACAUCAGGCAAAACUUCAGCAGACAGGGAGAACCAAGAAGAAAGCUAUGAUGUCCCAGACAGACUAACAGGACGGGCAGGUCUGGAGGAGCUCAGGAAACUUAACCCAGAGAGAAGAUGGAACUUUGUUGAGGUGAAUGUGACAUUUGAGGAACUUCGGAAAAUGAGAGGAGAGAGAGUCAGUGAUCUUAUCUAUCCACUGCAGUCUGUGAUGGAUGACAGCAUUGGCUGUGCUAUCUGGUUUGCUGCAAGAGGACAAGGUCUUCUGACCACUGAGACGGGCAUUGCACAGCAACCAUAUGAAAGCCCUGCGAAGGUUGUACUGGUUGGCAUGGGAGCUGAUGAACAACUAGCUGGCUAUUCCAGACAUCGUACAAAAUUCAAGUCAUCAGGAUGGAGUGGUCUUGUUUGUGAGGUCAACAUGGAGGUCUCAAGGAUAGCCAGUAGGAACCUAGGCAGGGAUGACAGAAUUAUAUCUGACCAUGGACGUGAGGCUCGCUUUCCAUUUCUAGAUGAAGACGUCGUGAAUUAUCUGAACCACCUUCCUAUUUGGCUUAAGGUGAGGCAACUUUUGAUCAUCAUCAACGUAGUCAGGUGCACUGUGAAUCAACUACCAUGUUCUGAUUGAUGAAUAUGUUGAUCACCUGCCAUUGAAUUAUUUACCUUAACAAACACCACAGAAAUUCCAUUCAACUGGGUAAUGGAAGUUCCACAGUGUAGUCACAAGUUGGCAAUGCUGAUCUGAGUUUGCCAAGGGGAGUUGGGGAGAAACUGCUCCUGCGAGUGAUGGCUCGGGCAAUAGGCC